rnacentral:lncRNA from 1 species
CUUCAUCCAACAGGACUGGUGUCCUCAGAAGAAGAAGAGCUACCUGAGGAUGUGUCACACAGAAAAAAGGCCGUGAGAGGACACAACCAGAAGGUAGCUGCCUGCAAACCAGAGAAAGAGAUCUCACCAGAAACCAACCCUGCUGGCAGCAUGAUCUUGGACUUUCAGCUUCCAGAACUUGAAACUGCUAGUAAGUGGUAGAAGCAGAGGUUGGAGCCAGCUCUUUUGGAUCCAGGGAGCUCGUCACUAUACCACAUGUUAUUCUAAUACUUCAGAGGUUGGAAAACGAAUAUGGCCCUUUCGUUCAUGACCUCCUCCCAGGAGCAGAGCAGCAGAUAGUGGGGCCAAGAGUGGCCCAAGAACACCCACUGGGGACCUAAUGACGACCACAUUGCGCAAGUCCUGUUUAUCCUUCACUGUGGAAAUCACGUCAUCAUGGAGGCUUCAGAUUCUUUUGUGAUCGUGUAUUCUGGUGCAAGAACCCCUUCCUGGGAUACUGGGUAAAGGGUAGAAUUUCCUGAUGGGGGAUGUGAAACCAUGGUUAAAAUAAGAGAUGACAUUGAAGGAGCUUUCAUGAACACAAUCAAAAAAUUCUUGGAAUUCAAUAAUAAAAAUAUUUAUUAAUAUACUUAUUUUAGCAGAGUAGUCAGUAUUUAUUGAGAACUUAGUAUGUAGUAGACUGUUCUAUGUGCUUUAGACAUCUUAUAUCUUUUAAUUUUCAAGUGCAUGCAAUUUCCAGUCUGUGUGUUGCUAGAGUGAUGGCUGAAAGAGAUGGAAAAGGCAGCCCACAAAAAAGCCUCUGCCACUUCCAGAUUGAUUUUUCAUUGAAUUUGCAGUUGUUUGACUUAAUGCACCAAGCCAUCUGGUUUCUUGGGCAUCCUGUGGACACACAACUUGGCCAGGUCACUUUAGACCUCUCACUUUUUAUUUGAUCUUAUGAUGUAAAGCCUGUGAAUGACUCUCAGGGCUGCGUUUCCUCUGUAAGACACAUAGACCUAUUCAAAACAUAGCAGUAGUUUCUGUUUCUGUUCUCCAUUCCAUUUGGGGAACAAGAAGUGUAAACAAUAAAGGGAAUCGUAUUUUAGCUUACUAAUUCUCAGUGCAGUACUUUUGAUAUUAAUGGUUGAAGCGGUCUAGAUGUCGCUGUUGUCAUUGUAGCUCCAUUUUAAUUUUUGUUUUUAAGGGAGUAUCAAGGUUCACUUUAAGGGACCAAAAUAAUUGCUUUCUUAGAUAUAUCCUGAAGUUUCCUUUCUAAACCAUGAUUGAUAUAUCAGCUACAAAUGUUAAACCCCAAAUAUCUACUGUCUGUUUCCUCUGGAGGAAAGAAUUCUAUGAGGUUGAUAACCACUGUGUAAAGUACAUUACUAACCUGUCAAUAUGUCUAUGUUCUCUCUAGUACCCUGAGUGUUAGGGAAUGUGUCUUCCUUCCAUCAAAGUCACUCUAUACAGAGAUUACAUAUGAUAUGCUAGGGACUAGGGAUUCAGCGCUGUAUACAACAGAUGAUCGUCCCCUCAUGGAGGUGACAUUCUAGUGGGAGGAUAUGCAUUAUGGUUUUAUGGACAUGGAUCCCAUUCUUCUUAGUCUUCUGUCUCAUUCAGUUUUCCUCUUUGAUAAUAAGAUCUAUCUUCUCCAUGAAAAUUCCCCUGAAGACUUCAGAAAUAUUAUUGAUAAGACUCAUUUGGAAUAUAUACACUUGUAAUUUUGUAUUGUCAUCUACUUUUUUUAUACGCAAAUGUCUCUUCUCCAUAGCUAGACAUGAUCGUGUUUCUACUCAUAAAACUUCUGACAGUAAAUGUGUAUCUUUUUUCAUCCACCUAACAACCAGUUUUUCAGUUCUCUAGACACCAACUGAGCGUCCUACAAUUCAACUCAUUUCUGACACUAACUACUCAGAGUUAGCACAGAUCCCACAAGUCAAGAGCUCAGUCCCACAAGACUGUCUCACUUCAGAUGCCAGUUGCAAGUCCCAGGUUUCCAUCUGUACUUCUGACCAAUGGCUGUAAAUUCAUGGGGCUCUCACAACUCCCUCGUCAGGCUCGAUAAUUUGUUACAAAGGCUCACAAAACUCAUGAAAACAGUUAUUUACUAUUAUUACUUUAUUAUAAAGGAUACAACUCAGGAACAGCCAAACAGAAGAGGGCCAGGUGUAGGAGAAGCAGCGCAGAACUUGCAUGCCCUCUCGGGGCGUGCCACCCUCCCAGUACCUCAAUGUGUUCACAAACCUGGAAGCUCUUGGAACCCCAUUGUUUAAGGGUUUCUAUGGAACUUCCAUUCUGGAGGCAUGAUUGAUUGAAUCAUUGGCCAUAGGUGACUGAACUCAAUCUCUGGCCCCUUUUUCCUCCCAAAAGGUCUCGGGGGGGGGGGGGGGGUGGCCUAAAAGUCUCAACCCUCUAAUCACAUGGUUGGUUCCUCUGGCAACCAGCCGCCAUCCUAAAGCUAUCUAGGGGCCCUCCAAGAGUCACCUUAUUAGUGUAAACUCAGGAAUGCUUGAAAGGGGCUUUUUAUGAAUAACAAAAGAUACUUCUGUCACUGCUAUCACUCAGGAAAUUCCAAGGGUUUUAGAAAAUCUGUGUCAGGAACUGGGGAUGAAGAGCAAAUAUAUAGUUCUUAUUCUUACACUAGAUUUUUAAGUUUCUAAGGGGAGGGAUCACUACACACAUUGUUUUAUUACUUUUUAUUUUGCAAAUAUUUACAUACACAAAAACUAUAAAUAAAAGAAGAUAAACACAUGUACCCAUGACACAGCUUAAGAAAUAGAACAUUACCUGUGCAUUUGAAGUUCCCUGUGUUCUCCUGUCUGAUCAUGUCCCACUUCUUCCCUGCCUCUAGAGGGAGCCACUGGUGUUUACCUCCCAAGGUACUUCCAACACUUUAACUACAAUAGACCCUUAAGCACUAUAUAAUAAUAUUCUCUUGCAUGUUUUUAAAGUUUAUACAAAUAAUCUCAUACCAAUGUGUUUGUUCACUUGCCCUUUUCUCUCAACAUUUAUGUUCAUGAGAAUUCGCCACAUUGAUAAGUGUAGCUGUAGUUUAUUCCUUUUCUCUGCUAUAUAGUAUUUCAUUGUUUGAACACAACACAGUUUUUUCAUUCUCUUGUUUGUGAAUAUUUAGAUUUUUUUCUUAUUUUCUACUCUUCUAAGUCUUUAUAACCGUAAUGUCUUUUGGGUAAAAGGUAGUCAGUAAAUACACUGUAUGAUUUUUAUUCCAAAUUAUAAGUCAUCAUCUAUUACCUUCUUGUAUGGAGACGAGUUUAUCUCAUUUAGUUAACUAUGCUUUUCAGUUUCAAUAUGUCUUUCUUAGUGAAGUGUUAUAAUGCCAAACCCAGCAACUUUCCCCUACGUUUUCCAGUAAUCAAAUUCCAAGCUGAGAUCAUAAAUGGGAAGGGUGAGAGGUCGCGUAGAGGUGAAAUUUUCAGUCGUUAUAGUAAAUUAAAGGUCCAAAUAGAAUCUGAUUAAGGAUAAUGCUUACCUUGUAGUGAAACAUGGCUGCUGACUGCCCUUUCUGAGCACACAAACACUGCUCCUGAGCAGUCUCUCUACUACCUUCUGGACAGGUCUCAUUUAUAAAUUUGUAAGUGAACUGCAACUUUCAUGGCUCAUUUUCUGUAACGGAAACUUCCAGAAUUUCUUUAAAUGCAGCCAUCAGCUUAUGGCUUUUAUUAAUCAGUGCUCCAGAAGACAGGCGCCCCAUGGACACCAAAGGCCAAGGGAGACUGCUGCCACUCUGCUGUGCUGCGCGUGAGUGUGUGUUUAGCUUUCCUGGUAUGGUUUGAUUUAACCUACUGGGCAGUCCAUGCAGCUGGCUUGGGAAGUCUCUCAAUAUUGAGUACAAACUGUGUAGAAAACAUGAAAGUGCCAAGAAAAAAAAUAGCUUCAUCAAUGACUAGUUGACCCCUUCUCCUAUAUUUCCAAGUUGUGCUGCAAAUCUGACAAAUGUAGAAAUUCAAAUGCAUGUGUGAUUCUUUGCUGUUUGGCAUUUAUCUCAGCAAAUGAGGAGAUGAUGUCAUAUCACAAGAGAGGUGUGAUGAUAAGUGCGAGGACAAGUCAUCCCUUAACAAGGGAGAAUUAAUGUGCUGUUCUAAAAUGGAACUGUUAUGUGUGCUGUCUACUCAAAAGAAGUAUGAAGAAGUGAAUAAAUGAAGCUGUCAGAUAAAGUGCUAAUGACAUACAAAAUAUUGAAAUAAAUAGCUGAUGAUGCACGAAGCAUCAACAGAUGCGGGUAGCCCUGUGGGCUCCAUUGCUCAUUUCUUUCCAUGUGGUUGUCCUCUUCUGAAUGUGGUGUAGCUUUUGCUCCAUUACUGCUCUUCCAGAUUGGGUCUUCAGAGUGACAAGUCAAGGAGUUGAGCAAUUUUCCAUUGAUUAUAAAGUAACAGAGAUAAGAAAUUAAAAGAAUUCAAAAAAUAUAAGUCAAAUCAAUUAUCAUGGUUUAUAAGGAGUAUAUAUCAUGGUUUAUUGUUUUUAACUGGAAAUUAAAUAAGUAAUAAUGAUUAUGAAAGUGACUGACUAGCUGCUCAGAAACCUGUUCCUUUUUCUAUGCACACAGUAUGAACACAGUUCUCAGCAUUCUUUGCAGUUGAGUUAGGGCCAUGUGCCUAGUUCAGACUAAGACAAUGUGAAUGCAAGUGUAGAAAAUCAACUCUAGGCUUAGUGCCUAAAUUCUCCCAUGAGAUCCUUCAUUUGCUUGCUCUGUGUGUCUGCAAAUGAAAGACUCCAAAAUGGCAGAACCACUUAACGGAAGAAACUCAGAUCCCUGAGUCCUCACCUGAAGGAGAGACAGCCAUGAAAGCUGCCCAAUGCAUGAGUAUUUUCUAUGAGCAAGAAAUAAAGUUUUAUUUUGUUAACAUUGAGAUAUGGGUGUUAGAGCAUCUAGCACUUCUGUCAUAAUAUAGUAAUCAAAUAAGUUUCAUUCAAACUCAUAUUUUUGUCUUAGAAUAUUUGUUAUGAUCUACUAGCUUUUAGAUUCUUUUAAUUGGGUCUUCCUACAACUGAAUUGAAACAAAUAGUAAGUACAAUGCAUUUUAAGAGGAAUAGAAGAUGGAUUUCACUUACAGAAAAGGAAACUUACCACUCACUUGAAAGUUUUGAUUUCUCUUUCUCAGAAAUCUUAUAGUUUCUUGUUCAGAUCACUCCUUUGUAAAUAAUGUUUUGUAGUUUCUAGAUCAUUUUGACCUCUAAAAUAUAACAAAGUUAUCAAUGAGUGCUAGUUUAAAUCUUUUUCUUAUGGAUAUAGGAAGAAAUCAUAAAAGACUUUAAAUGGGCCAAAAAGAUUAUGUCUAAGCACAUCCCUCUGGGUUAUCUUGCUGUCUGAUUCCAUGGAUUCUCUGUGUCUUUUGUUGUCUUUGAGCUAUCUUACCAUUUUUUCAGUUGUAGAUAACUAAUAGCAAUGCAAAUGAUUCUUGGCCGUAGACAGACAAAUGAAUUUUGCCCAGUGGAAACACAAUUGAUCUCCUUCUCUACAUCCCUCCCUCCCACAGAAUAAGCAAGUUUGCAUCUAUUUAUAAAUUUAUUUCAGCAUUACUCCUUUUACAUGUGUAGCUCUUUGAUUAAUCCUUUGAACCAGUUAUAAUAUCCUACUGGUUCCGUCAUUAAUUGAUGAAUUAAAAUUUUUGACAUCUUCAUUUUAUAUUUCUUUGAAAAUCGUGACUAUGUCCUUCUUUUAAAAUUACCCUUUAACAGUUUUGGAGGUCCCACCAAGAAGCCCAGUGGAUUCCCCUGCCUUAGUCUGGUAAUCCGCAUUGCUGGCGAAGUGCACCUCGUAAACAGCCUACGCCCAGUCAGCUUGACUCCCAGAGGUGAAUACCAAGUGGAACUAUAACUUCUUGUAUUUUUUUAUAGUUUUUUUUCCCAGUGAUUUUGUUUUGUUUUUGUUUCUUAUUUGUACAUGGCCAACGGGAGUUAUAUACAAUUGGUGGCAGCAGUUAUUGGGAAUUUGGUUUUAUGGUCUAUUUGUCAUCUCUGUAGAUGGUAGAUAGAGAUCUGUUCUCUAUUGCCUAAGAGACAAGAGAGAAUUUGGUUCGUUAAUCUUUCUGUUUGUUGGUUGAUAUGUCUAUUUUUCAGCUUGAAUUACUUAAGAAUUUUGUGCCCAUUGAAGAAAAGUAUAGCUCUUUGAUAUCUGGACUGUUGGGAUUUUUGCAUUUUUCUGUUUACAGUUGACUUGUGGCUAAAGUUUUAAAUCUGAAGCUAUAAGCACUUUGAGUCUUUUAUAUUUCUGUGAUUUGGAAAGGCUUUUACCUCUUGUUAGUGUAAAAUUUCCUCCUAUAGGAUAUUAAAUAAAUUCUAUAAUGAAGUCUCUUAACGGAACUUUGUUCUGAUUAAAUUAUUAACUCUUACAUAAAUUGAACAUUACUAAAAUUCUUAGAAAAAUAAUAAAUAUUAAACUUGUAAUAUUUUAAAUGUACUAGACUUAAAUAAAAAUUUCGUUAUAGAAACUAACUUGGAAAUGUUUUAGGAAUUCAAGUUUGCAUAAUAAAAGUAAGUCUUUUGUACAUGAGACUAGAUCAAUAAUUUUGGUUUAAUAGAAACAGCUAUGUCUUUUCCGAUUUAUCAAUGUUAAGUAAAAUAUGUGUGUAUUUUAUUCUAGUUAGAUUUGUUUUUCCUAAAUUUAUACAGGUACAAUGAUCAAAUAAACCAACAUUACUGUUAUAUAAUGUUUCAGAUAAUUAGAAAAGUAAAUUUAUGUUCACCUAAAUUAAUUAUUCUGACAAAAAUUUAUUUUGACAGUAAUUAUAAUAUGUCAGCUAGAAGAAAAUUUCCAAGAUCUGUAGUUAACUGAAAUCUUGGAUUGAUUUUAAAUUGAGUGGAUAAUCAUUUGAGGCUUAGAAAAUUUCUAAGUAAUACAGUUAUUGGUUACUAAGCAUAUUUUCAAGUCUAUAUACUUUAUUCUCAUUUGUAUAUGCUAUCAAGAGGCUAUGUGUUUGGUGCCUGUUAAUGAAUGUGCUCAUUUUUGCCACUUUAAAAAAGUGUAUAAGAUAUAUGUGUGACUGUUGAAAAUUGUGUAUGUGUGUCCGUGAGCUUUGCUCAUCCACUAAAAUGCUUGUAUAUGACAGUUUUUUUGAGUAAUUUUAAUUGAAAAAUAUAACAUAUAAUAUUACAGAUUAUUUUUAUUUUUAAAUUUUUUUCUUUAUUUUUUAAUUGAGACUCAUAAUAGUUAAAUCAUCGUAAAAUUUCUGUUGUACAUUAUUUCUUGUCUGUCACCAUACAAGUGCUCCCUUUCACCCCCUGUGCCCACCCUCCACCCCGCUUCCCCUGGUAACGACUGAACUGUUUUCUUCAUCUCUGUGUUUGUUUAUAUUCUGCAUAUAAGUGAAAUCAUACAUGAUGUUUGUCUUUCUCAGUCUGGCUUAUUUCACUCAGUGGAAUACCCUCCAGGUCCAUCCAUGUUGUUGCAAAUGGGAUGAUUCUGUCUUUUUUUAUGCUGAGUAGUAUUCCAUUGUAUAUAUAUAUGUACCACAUCUUCUUUAUCCAAUCUUCGGUUGAUGAACGCUUGGAUUGUUUCCAUGUCUUGGCUUUGUGAAUAGUGCUGCACUGAACAUAGGGGUGCAUAUGUUACUUUGGAUUGUUGAUUUCAAGUUCGGGUGGAUGUCCAGUAGUGGGAUAGCUGGAUCAUAUGGUAUUUCUAUUUUGAGGAAUCUCCGUACUGUUUUCCAUAGUGGCUGCACCAGUUUGCAUUCCCACUAGCAAUGUAUGAGUGUUCCCUUUUCUCCACAUUCUCUCCAACAUUUGUUGUUUUUGGUCUUGGUAAUUACAGCCAUUCUGACUGGUGUAAAGUAAUAUCUCAUUGUAGUUUUGAUUUGCAUUUCCCUAAUGAUUAGUGAUGUUGACAUCUUUUCGUGUGUCUGUUGGCCAUCUGUAUAUCUUCCUUUGAAAAAUGUCUGUUCAUAUCCACUGCCCAUUUUUUGAUGGGGUUGUUUGUUUUUUUUUGGUUGAGUUGUGUGAGUUAUUUAUAUGCUUUGGAUGUCAACCCCAUGGACAGACAGUUAAUCUUAACAAGCCGUUGCCCCACCCAGCUUUCUCUGUGAUUAUUAAAUGUUAUAAUUAAUAUGAGUCAUUGAAACUACACUAAGAGCAGUGUGAACAGAGAAAUGCAACUGUCCAUGUAUUUUAGAAAAAAGAAGUGUUUUUGUUUGUAAGUAGUAGUUCUCAUGCUUUUUUUUUGUUUUUGGUCUCCAGAACCCAUUAUACUCUUAUACCCUUGGGACUCACUGAGGAUCCCAAGGAGCUUUUGCUUAUGUGAGUUAUAAAUCUCAAUAUUUACCAUAUUAAGAAUUAAAUCAUGUAUUUAAAAAAUCUUCGAUUGAUUUUAAGAUUGCCGAGAUGAAUGCAAUGUGUGCAAACAUAAAUAAUAUCUAGUAUUAUUAUGAAAUACAUUAUUGCCUCACAAACUUCCUGAGAUCUGUCCUAAAGUAAAAUGUUAGUUUGUUCCAUCACAUGAAAAAAACAUAAGGAAGGUUGAAAUUGGGUAAGUGAAUCUUUUUUGCCGUGGUCUAUAAUACUUGUGUCUAAAAACAGCUAUGAAAUGUGUUAAAAUUCUGGCAAAGCUUACUCAGUCUUAAUGAGUUUGCCUCCUUAGUUUACCGAUUGUCUUCACCUACAGUAUGAAAGGUUAUUCUUUACCUUCUGUGUAGUCCACAUGGAUAGCAGACAUGCUGUAUUUUACCAGAAUAAUUUUCUGUGUUUUUUGUUGACUUAAUUUCUUCAUUAUGCAAAAUGAAAAAAGAAAGAACAGAGAUCCCUCACUUAUGAAAGAGCUGAGGUUUCUACAAUCAUGCUACUUUUCCAUGUCUAUUUUUAAAUGUUUUAUUGUCACUUUACUUAAAUAGGUAACUGUAUAUUAUUUCUCAGGCACCCAUGAUCUUAUCUUAAUCAUGCUCCAGAUCUCCACUUAAAAUGUUUUGAUUUUAGCCUUCAAGAUUCAUGACCUAAAUAUACAAAAAAUAAAAUUUUCGGCGUAUCUUUUACUUCUAAACUAUCUUUGGGAUUUCCCAGAGGGCCCCUGAAAAAUCACAAAGAUUUGUUCUUUUGCUUAUAAAAGAGAUGCUAGAACUAAUUAGUUUUGUUUGAUAUGCUAUUAUAAGGGUUGCAUGGGAAAAGUUGUCAGAUUAGAAGACUUCAGUCUUUGCUAGGUUAAGUUUGUAAAGGUAAAAUGUUAUUAAUAUAAAUAUUUCAGAAAUUGUGUGUUUUGUAUGCAGUCCCUGAAGAUAUGUCAACGCUGUGCUUUCAUAAUAAAUCUUAACCUCUAAUGAAACACUGAUCAAAAUUCUCAUGAAAUAGUCUGUCAGGUUUUGCACAUUUAUCAGAGUCCUGGAGUGCUUUCUGUGGUGAUUUAAGCAACAACGAUAUUGCAUUAUCUGUCACAAUUUCAGUUACUACUUAAAAUGUUUACUUUGCCACAGUCUUACUUUUUUCAUUUGAAGCUGUUGAAAGAGACAGCCCUCCGUGGGUUUCUCAUGCUUUUGUGUGUCUUGCUGGGAAUGCAAGUAUUUCAAGGCCCUAACUACUCUUUCACCUGGGCCAAUUCUCAGGGCUGUGUUCUCAUGAGUAACUUUGAGAAACGAGGUAAUGUUUUUCUCUGGGACAAAGAUUAACUUUGCAUAUGCUUGCUAUAGAAGCAAUGGAUUUCCUCAAACUCAGUAUUCUUCAGGCUGUGACAUGAACCCUGUGCAUGCACAGCAUCCAUGUGGGCUCUCUCUGUCACCCCUGUGGGACUUGGGGACCAGGGAAACAAAUGCAACUUUUUAUGUUCGUGCUGCUUACUGUGAUAUGAGUAACAAAGUCCUUUGUGUCUGACUGAGGAGUCUCAUGUCUUCUGCCAGCGUGCAUAGAACAAUCACAGGAUAUUCAGUAGCUUGUAAGUGGAGUUCAAUCAAAUCCCACAUCCAACAGAAGCGAGCGUCUUCUAGGCCAGUGGUUCUCCAUUGCAGAUGGACCUCAGACUUAGUCAAGGAGUUGUACACAUAUGUAGGCCCUGCUUCAGAUUUGCUGAAUCUCUUUGUCUUGGUAUUCUUGCUAUGUUAUGUAUAUUAUCUCUCAGAAUUAUUGUAUGCUAUAUCUCAAGAUUUUUUGCUCUUAACACUGUUCUUCCAUUUUUAUAAAUCAGAUGUAACAUUCAAUGAUGUCUUUGAAAAUAGACUUAAUCGUUACUCUUAGAGACCUUUUUUUGGAACAGCUUUAUCAUCUUCAUUUUUCAUGUCACAGAAACAAUCAUAUACAGCUGUCAAUUGCACAUUUCAUAUCAGAAACGUCAUCAAAUUUUCACAUUUGGAAAUUAUCAGUAAUAAAUUAAACCCAGGCAUUCAUUCUCUGUCAUCUACAGAUGGUGUUUGUUUUACUCUGAUGCUUGCGUGGAGGUUCUGCUAUAAGCUACAGGAAAGAGUCUGUGUCUUUAACAAAGAAAUGGAGUUUCCGAGCCUCAAGGAACAGGACUGGAUUUCAGACUGUUGACAUGUCAAAGCUGCUCUUAUGUUCCCUAGAGCAGGAGUCAGCAAACUGUGUCCUGCUGGCCCUAAAUACCUACUGCCUGUUUUUGUAAAUAAAAUUUUAUUGAAACACAGUCAUGCCCAGUUAUUUAGUUUUUGUCUUUGGCUGAUUUUUUGCUAAAACAGCGAAGUUAAGUAGUUAGAGAGCAUCUGGCUUGCAAAUCUUA